ACCGGCGGCUCGAGUGGUGGCCACUAUUACUGGGCUUAAAGCGUUCGUAGCUGGCUUGUUAAGUCUCUGGGGAAAUCUUCCGGCUCAACCGGAAGGCGUCUCAGGGAUACUGGCAGGCUAGGGACCGGAAGAGGUGAGAGGUACUCCAGGGAAGGGAGUGAAAUCCGGUAGUCCCGGGGGGGAGACACGUGGCGAAGGGGAGACACCAGGACGACUUCCACAGUGAGGACCGAAUGCUGCUGCAGCAAACCG
rnacentral:rRNA from 1 species